CAGCUGUGGAGGCGGCGGAUUAGGGUUCCGGGGUCGACGUUCCCGGUCACCGUCACCUUGUGCUGGAGCGCGUCCACGUCGCACUUGUACACGCCUACGAGGUGUUCGACGAAAUGCCCCAACCAAAAAGAACAUCAAGUUUAAUUUCAAGGACAAUGAAAGUUGUGGUGGUACAGAGAGAGGGAGAGAGAGAGAGAAGCAGGGAAAAUUUUUUCUGAACCAGGUAUAUAUACGUGGUGGACAGGGUCCGGGCAACAGUUCCUCGAAUACGUGAGGUAUGAUUGUGCAUCAAAAUGAAAUGAUCACAUAGGAGGGGGGAAGGUACAAAGUUUUGAUCAUAUCUGGGUGAAUGCACUGAUACCCCUUUGCAAAUAAUUUUGAUCAUUUAUGUGUGGUUUAAAUGCUCGAAUCUUGUACCCAUCACACCACGUAGAUCUGAUCAGUGUGUGUUCACUCACUGUCCUUCUAACUCAGACCCAUGAGCCCCACAACCUGGCAGACAGUAAGCUCUCGUGAUCCAUGCGAAUUAAUAUUUUAAAAAUCAGGUCGAAUAACGAAACAGUGGAUCAAUCACUGAUGAGUGAAUCAGUGGCAUCAGUCUAACAUUAUUAAUGUUUAAUCAUUUAUUAUUUUUAAAUUAA